rnacentral:rRNA from 1 species
AGUGAACGCUGGCGGUAGGCCUAACACAUGCAAGUCGAACGGCAGCACAGGAGAGCUUGCUCUCUGGGUGGCGAGUGGCGGACGGGUGAGGAAUACAUCGGAAUCUACUUUUUCGUGGGGGAUAACGUAGGGAAACUUACGCCAAUACCGCAUACGACCUACGGGUGAAAGCAGGGGAUCUUCGCACCUUGCGCGAUUGAAUGCGCCGAUGUCGGAUUAGCGAGUUGGCGGGGUAAAGGCACACCAAGGCGACGAUCCGUAGCUGGUCUGAGAGGAUGAGCCGCCACACUGGAACUGAGACACGGUCCAGACUCCUACGGGAGGCAGCAGUGGGGAAUAUUGGACAAUGGGCGCAAGCCUGAUCCAGCCAUACCGCGUGGGUGAAGAAGGCCUUCGGGUUGUAAAGCCCUUUUGUUGGGAAAGAAAUCCAGCUGGUUAAUACCCGGUUGGGAUGACGGUACCCAAAGAAUAAGCACCGGCUAACUUCGUGCCAGCAGCCGCGGUAA